GAUGAACGCUAGCUACAGGCUUAACACAUGCAAGUCGCGGGGCAGCAUGGGGGUUGCUUGCAACCCCCGAUGGCGACCGGCGCACGGGUGAGUAACGCGUAUCCAACCUGCCCUUCACCACGGGAUAACCCGGCGAAAGUCGGACUAAUACCGUAUGUUGUCCAUUGACGGCAUCCGAUUUGGACGAAAGGCUUUGCGGUGAAGGAUGGGGAUGCGUCCGAUUAGCUGGACGGCGGGGUAACGGCCCACCGUGGCUACGAUCGGUAGGGGUUCUGAGAGGAAGGUCCCCCACACUGGAACUGAGACACGGUCCAGACUCCUACGGGAGGCAGCAGUGAGGAAUAUUGGUCAGUGGGCGUAAGCCUGAACCAGCCAAGUAGCGUGCAGGAUGACGGCCCUAUGGGUUGUAAACUGCUUUUAUGCGGGGAUAAAGGAGCCCACGUGUGGGUUUUUGCAGGUACCGCAUGAAUAAUGACCGGCUAAUUCCGUGCCAGCAGCCGCGGUAAUACUGAAGGUCCUGGCGUUAUCCGGAUUUAUUGGGUUUAAAGGGAGCGGAUGCCGCGCCUUAAGUGGUGUUGCGAAACCCGGGUGCUCAACAUCCGUCUUGCAGCGUGAAACUGUGUCUCUUGUAGUGCUCUUAAAAGUAGGCGGAAUUCGUGGUUUAGCGUUUAAAUGCUUGAUGUCACGAGAACUCCGAUGGCGAAAGCACCCUACUGUAGCGUCUGCUGACGCUGAUGCUCUAAUGCGGGUGUAUUGAAAUAAUAUGACAUACCCCUGUUGUUGCCAAGGGCCAAAUCACAUGGUGGGAUAUGAGUUGUUUGAAUCCGUCCACCGCGUGGGGAGACAAAAAAAAACAGCAUAUGUAUCAUAUUGUUUCAUCACCCCACUCCCCCCCACCUGUGUCUCUCAUCUUUUUCUUUAUUUACUCCUUGUGUCUGUUGUGAUUUGUGUCUCCUGUGUCUUUGUCUCUGUCCUUACAUAUAGUGUUAUCUCUCCCGCUGCCUAGUGUAUUAUAUCUGAUUCUUCUACCAGCCUACCCCUUGAGAACCAUGAUCUGAUACUUAGCUUUUUUGCCUAUGACCCCUUUUAUGCGUGAUUGCCUAUGCUGUUCCAUGCCUUUUCUUCUACCUCCCCUUGUUGCCUGCUAUGCCCUCCCUGCUUGCUGAUUGUUGUUUAUGUGCCUUAGCUAGCCCCCUGAUUCUCCCACUCAGA
rnacentral:rRNA from 1 species